GACGAAGGGGGCUAGCGUUGUUCGGAAUUACUGGGCGUAAAGCGCGUGUAGGCGGUUGUUCAAGUCAGGGGUGAAAGCCUUGAGCUCAACUCAAGAAAUGCACUUGAUACUGGAUGACUAGAGGACCGGAGAGGAUAGUGGAAUUCCCAGUGUAGUGGUGAAAUACGUAGAGAUUGGGAAGAACACCAGUGGCGAAGGCGGCUAUCUGGACCGACAUUGACGCUGAGGCGCGAAAGCGUGGGGAGCAAACAGG
rnacentral:rRNA from 1 species